rnacentral:rRNA from 1 species
CCUACGGGGGACAGCAGUGAGGAAUAUUGGUCAAUGGGCGCGAGCCUGAACCAGCCAAGUCGCGUGAGGGAAGACGGUCCUAUGGAUUGUAAACCUCUUUUGUCGGGGAGCAAACGACGCCACGCGUGGCGUUCCGCGAGUACCCGAAGAACAAGCAUCGGCUAACUCCGUGCCAGCAGCCGCGGUAAUACGGAGGAUGCGAGCGUUAUCCGGAUUUAUUGGGUUUAAAGGGUGCGCAGGCGGAAGAGCAAGUCAGCGGUAAAAUUGAGAGGCUCAACCUCUUCGAGCCGUUGAAACUGGUUGUCUUGAGUGAGCGAGAAGUAUGCGGAAUGCGUGGUGUAGCGGUGAAAUGCAUAGAUAUCACGCAGAACUCCGAUUGCGAAGGCAGCAUACCGGCGCUCAACUGACGCUCAUGCACGAAAGUGUGGGUAUCGAACAGGAUUAGAUACCCGAGUAGUC